rnacentral:rRNA from 1 species
GGCCGCGGGAAUUCGAAACAAACAUAACACAUGCAAGUCGAGCGAGACCUUCGGGUCUAGCGGCGGACGGGUGAGUAACGCGUGGGAACGUGCCCUUUGGUUCGGAAUAGCCCCGGGAAACUGGGAGUAAUACCGGAUGAGCCCUACGGGGAAAGAUUUAUCGCCGAAGGAUCGGCCCGCGUUGGAUUAGGUAGUUGGUGGGGUAAUGGCCUACCAAGCCAAAGAUCCAUAGCUGGUUUUAGGGGACGAUCAGCCACACUGGGACUGAGACGCGGCCCAGCCUCC